CUUCAACUACGCGGCAGUGUGCUUUGGCGUCGUGUCUAGAAAGAGGGAUUAAUCGCGAUUCAUCCGUUGGAGUUAAGAGUUCCCGAAUCGAAGUGAAGUGUGAAUGCAUCCUUCAAGCUGUGAUUAUAUACCUGAAUGAGAACCGUCAAAAUAUCAUCAAAGAGUACAUGGAUUUCAACGUGAUGGAAGCUGAAGAGCUCGAGAGGAUAGAUCCACGAAGGAGCACGGCCUGAUGACUCCCUUGAAGAUGUUGGCAUCAUUAUCGAGAGAUGCACCGUCUUGCAGGAUCUUCACGAUGUGGCGAGCAGGUGUGCACUUUUGUUUGGGCUAAUUUACUGCCUCAAUCUGCGAUACCCAAAGUCACUUCGCUACACAUUGGAGUUCUUCCAGAAGGUGCUCAUGGGACUGGAAGACAAAAAACUGUCUAACAAAAUACAAGCGCUGAAGAACAAACUCUGCCAAAGGGAGAUGCAAUGACUCUUACAGAUCGAAAUGUCCCCCAAAAUAAGUGCUCUGUUUUCUUGCUGAGUAAAAGUUUUACUGUUUAAAAGUUUAUAAAUAUAUAUAUGUUGAUCCUUGUUUGUAAAUAUUUUGUCAUAGCUUUUAAUAUUUAAGAGAUUUACUGAAUGCCAUUUUUCUUUUGAUUGUGGAAAAGAAAAAAUAAUUCAGAAACUGAGUUUUUUGAACUGGGGACAAAAUUGCCCAGAUGGAUAUAUUUUCCUGUCUCACUAACAUUUUCUUCAGUUUGAGUUGCUGUGGUAAUUCUGCAGACUGUAGCCAUUGCAGACCUACAACUGUAGAUCCUAAAAUCAUUCUGUCAGGUUUGACAUCCUACUCCUCACUACACUGUCACUUAGUUGAAACUGGAAAGUUGUUUCAGAUGUUUACAUUUUGUUUUACACACUUCAUUUAAUGUUGCAUUAUGCAGUGUUGUUUCCCUGUUUAAGCUUUGCGUCAUUGAAGGCUUUUGUUGAAGUUGUUAAAGCAACACAAUUUUUUUUGUAUUUACACUUCAUAUUAGUUCUGGUGUACCAGGUUUCCAUUGUGGGGUAGGUCAAGGAGGGGCAGUCUUCUGUUAUGACUGCUUGGGAGGUGAGGGCAAAAUCAAAUUGAACCUAAAUGAGAGCACAGUAUAUUAUGACAGAUUGGCGGACUGUGGCUGGAAAACAUUAUUACUAUUACUAGAAGAAUUACCGGAAGAAAUUUAGAUAAGGAUUCUUUAUAUAUUGGAAGAAUUGCUGAAGGCACCACUUAAUAAUCCAAUCAGGUAUGCCGUAUGAUUUCCAAUAUGUGAGGGUGGCCAGGGAAACUACACCAAAAAUACCGCCCGUUAUGGCAACACCUAGAACUGCGUUACGUGCGAGGUUGGCAACAGCACUCUGUGGUACUUCCUCUUUGAUUUCACGCCUCAUUUUCGCACGCUCUUCCCUUUUUUCAUUCAUCUCCCUUUCAAUGUUGUCAAUCCUAGUAAUAAGCAUUCUGCUUUGCUCCUGGAGAAUCUCUAAACACUGAGCUAUUCUCUCCGUUGACACCCUAAUCCUUUGGAGCUCCUGCAGAGACUCAUGGCAUCUGGCAGCACAACCGCACGAUCCACUAGUCUGAGCCCUGUCAGGAUGUGGUUCCUCUGUAUUAUCUCUGUUGGAAGGUGAAUUAUUUAAUGUUUCUUCUGACAUUUCUUUAAAAGAUUAAGGGACAGUGUCAAAAGAAAAAAAUGUUCCCUGAAUUAUUUAAAUGUAAAAGUAUUAGCUUUGUCAAAGAUUCCUGCUUUGCAAAAACAACUCGCCGUUACUGAAGACUCACCAAGGUAAACUCUAUUUAUGGACUUAUGUGGCAGAGAUGGUGAUGUUGACCGUCACGUCACAGUCUUUCCUUUGAGAAGCAGAGACUGUGACGUGGCGGUCGACCUUCACGUCACAGAAGAUCAAAGGAUCAAAUAGCUCCGUGUCAUUCCGCGCAUGCUCAGAUCACGCCUAUAGAAAUGAACGGGAUAUUUAUUUAUUCGUUUUAAAUACCUUGCUAUAUAACAAAGGUGACUGCGCACUCAAAGGACAAGGAGAGUUCAAAAUAGGGCUGUUCGAUAUAACGACACAUAUCGGAUGACGAUAUGAAAAGGAUCGCUUCAUAUUACAGCAAUAUUUUUUUCAUGUUUUUUUUUAUG